rnacentral:tRNA from 1 species
UUAAAGUUUCUGUAGUUGAAUUA